GGGGACGUAGCUCAGCUGGGAGAGCGCCUGGUUUGCAACCAGGAGGUCGGCGGUUCGAUCCCGCUCGUCUCCACCA
rnacentral:tRNA from 1 species